rnacentral:rRNA from 1 species
GUCCACGCCCUAAACGAUGUCAACUAGGUGUUGGGAGGGUAAAACCUUUUAGUACCGGAGCUAACGCGUGAAGUUGACCGCCUGGGGAGUACGGCAGCAAGGUUAAAACUCAAAGGAAUUGACGGGGACCCGCACAAGCGGUGGAUGAUGUGGAUUAAUUCGAUGCAACGCGAAAAACCUUACCUACCCUUGACAUGUCCAGAAGCCCUUAUAGAUUUGGGUGUGCCCGAAAGGGAGCUGGAACACAGGUGCUGCAUGGCUGUCGU